rnacentral:rRNA from 1 species
AGUAAAAGUCGUAACAAGGUUUCCGUAGGUGAACCUGCGGAAGGAUCAUUAUCGUAACUCCGAGGAGGGGCCUGGUCAAGCCCUGCUCCGGUCCAAACGGGCCGUGCAGCGGGCGACCGACCCCGACUCACCAAACCAAAAACCCACUUGUGCUCCUUUACGGUCGGAGGGCGACGAUGCCGGCGAAAGCCGCUCGCGCCCGAAGCCGCAUUCACAACAAAACCACUUGUUCAAAAGAAUGCUCAGCGGGCCUUGUACCGCCUAAAACUGAAACAACUUUCAACAACGGAUCUCUUGGCUCUCGCAUCGAUGAAGAACGCGGCGAAAUGCGAUAAGUAAUGUGAAUUGCAGAAUUCAGUGAAUCAUCGAAUCUUUGAACGCACCUUGCGCUCCUUGGUAUUCCGAGGAGCAUGCCUGUUUGAGUGUCUUGAAGUCAUCAACCCCUUCCAGUUUUUCUGCCGGAGGUGGGUUGGACUUGGGGGCCUGCUGCCGUGAGGCGGCUCCCCUCAAAUGCAUCGGUUGGACCUGUGGGUCGGACUCGGCCAGGCGUUGUACCAUCCUCGUUUGUAAACGAGAUGUUCCCCCUCUAGGUGUCCUCCCAUGACCUUGCCUUUUGAGUGGCGGUCAAUGCACCAUUCGAAAUCU